rnacentral:rRNA from 1 species
GACGAACGCUGGCGGCGCGCUUAACACAUGCAAGUCGAACGGAAAGGCCUGCUUUCCCUUGUGGAUUGCGGGUACUCGAGUGGCGAACGGGUGAGUAACACGUGAGUGAUCUGCCCCCAACUUGGGUAUAAGCCUGGGAAACUGGGUCUAAUUCCCGAUAGGACUGCAGGGUGGUGCCUGUGGUGGAACACGAUUUUCUAGUGGUUGGGGAUGAGCUCGCGGCCUAUCAGCUUGUUGGUGGGGUAAUGGCCUACCAAGGCGGCGACGGGUAGCCGGCCUGAGAGGGUGGACGGCCACAUUGGGACUGAGAUACGGCCCAGACUCCUACGGGAGGCAGCAGUGGGGAAUAGUGCACAAUGGGCGGAAGCCUGAUGCAGCGACGCCGCGUGGGGGAUGACGGCCUUCGGGUUGUAAACUCCUUUCGACCGCGAGGAAGCCACCUGGUUGGAAGGGUGGUGACGGUAGUGGUAGAAGAAGCACCGGCUAACUACGUG